rnacentral:tRNA from 1 species
AAAACAGUAGCUCAGCGGUAGAGCUUCCGCUUCGUAUGCGGGUAGACUUGGGUUCGAUUCCCGGCUGCUUUC